rnacentral:rRNA from 1 species
UUCGAGUGGCGGACGGGUGAGUAACGCGUGGGUAACCUGCCUUACACAGGGGGAUAACACCUGGAAACAGGUGCUAAUACCGCAUAAGCGCACAGGGCCGCAUGGCCCGGUGUGAAAAACUCCGGUGGUGUAAGAUGGACCCGCGUCUGAUUAGCUUGUUGGCGGAGUAGGGGCCCACCAAGGCGACGAUCAGUAGCCGGCCUGAGAGGGUGGACGGCCACAUUGGGACUGAGACACGGCCCAAACUCCUACGGAAGGCAGCAG